rnacentral:rRNA from 1 species
CAGUAGCCGCGGUAAUACGAAGGGUGCAAGCGUUAAUCGGAAUUACUGGGCGUAAAGCGUGCGUAGGUGGUUUGUUAAGUCUGCUGUGAAAUCCCCGGGCUCAACCUGGGAAUGGCAGUGGAUACUGGCUCGCUAGAGUGUGUCAGAGGAUGGUGGAAUUCCCGGUGUAGCGGUGAAAUGCGUAGAGAUCGGGAGGAACAUCAGUGGCGAAGGCGGCCAUCUGGGACAACACUGACGCUGAGGCACGAAAGCGUGGGGAGCAAACAGGAUUAGAUACCCCCGUAGUCCCUGUCUCUUAUAC